ACCCAGGAUGAUUCUAAACAAUGCUUUAUACAGUGCAAGAUCUCGUCAUCAUUUCCAUAUAAGGCCCUGGAAACCACUCGUCUAUUUUCUGUCUCUAUGGAGUUGCCUCAUCCAGUAUGUAGCCUUUUGUGACAGGCUUGUUUGAUGUAGCAAAACGUUUUCAAGGCUCAUCCAGGUUGUGGCUGCUGAGACCAGAGAUUUUUCAGUGUGCCUCCAGGAAACACAAGGAAGACCAUGGAGAAUCAGAGCCACCCCUAUCGGCCUACAUCCUCCGUAACUACCUUUUCACUACUUUGGGGAUAAAUCAAAGUAUGAGCAAUCUUGAAUCAAAUCUAUUCUCAUCAAUCCUUGAAUCUGAACCAGACUCUAAUCUGACCUUGCUCACAUGCUACCUGAAUAUAAAGAACUGAAAAAAGGUAGUGGUUAUUUUGUUUCCACUUCACCUGUCAGAAUUGCAGUCCUGCCUCACUGUUUCUGACUAUCCCAGUCUGCCUGGUAAUACAGCUAUUUGAAUAGGAGUUGGGGUCCUUUACCAAGUUCUCAUUUUCUUCAGGCAAGUUCCACCUGUUUCUAAAUGUUGUACUCUUUAAGGCCAUGCCUUGUCUAUAGCGGGUUGCACAGUGCGUGUCUAAUACAUUGAAGUCCCCGACUUAGAGGAAGAAACAUCUUCACAGAGCAGCCUCCCUCACAGGCUGGUAUUCUUGGGCAGACUGUUUAAUAUCUCCGAGCAUCAGCAAAUGAGAGUCAUAAUACUUUUAUAUCCCAGAGAUGCUAUGAGUGUUAAAUUAAACAGCAUGGAAAGAUGUCCCUUAAGAAAUGUUCAUGUACUUCCUUUCUACCCUUCCCUCUGUGUUCCUUUCAAAAGGACCUCAAAAGGAGGCCAAAUGAGAUCAGUCUUUCCUCUCUCUGUAGAAGGAAAUUAAAGCAGUGUCAGCCAGUGUCCUGGAGGAUGCUUCCUGGACUUUUCCACUUAGGAAGUAAAGGAAAGUAUAUACGGAGGGGCAUAGUAGCAGAGGUCCAAUCACCCUAGAAACCAAAAAGCAACCGCUAGGGAGUGACAGCAGGAAAAAUGCAUAGAAAAAGGAGUAACCUUAGGCUUGGAAAUCCAUAGGACAGCCAGAGACCUUCCAGACCUACUGGAAAUGUAUGUGUGGUCAAAUCCGAGCAAUCCUUUCUUCUUGAUC